UUCGGGCAGCCUGUGUUCAGGGAGUGGUGCAUCUCGGAAGUCUACUUCCUGAAUGCAACUCGGGGAAGAAGGCAGCAUCUCCAUUUGGGUUUGCGGGACAGGCUACUUCUCAUCACCUUGGUCCUGCUGCUGCUGUCAUGAAGGCGGCUGGCUGUAGUGUGUAGAGGGUGUGCAACUACCCUGUCCUUGUAGCUGCUGUUCCCUGGCUGGAAUGACUCUAGGAUCCAGAGUGCAGACAAACAGCCCUGCAGUCUUGCGAGGAGUGCUAAUGGGGACUGAGAGGAUUGGGAAGGAGUCAGCGGGCAGGAAGAGGAAGAGAAACAGCCCCACACCGACAGACAGAGCCUGAAUGAUCACACACCAGCUGGAGGUGGAAAGAGUUUUCCACCAUCUGUGAGGACUCCGCGGAUGGGUGAUUGCGUCCACCAAGGACAUCCAUUUCUCCAAGCUUAGGGAAAAUCAGCUGGGGAGGUAGGCUUAGGCUGUUCACCUCUCCUCUUGCCCUGACAACAGCACUACUUAUGAGAUUUGAGAGGACGCCAACACGCGACAGCGACAAAAUCACAUUUGCACGGUCCGUCAACAUUCUGACACUUUUUGAAAUACAUAUUGCUACCUCUACCCUGCGAACCCUUUCCAACUGCCUGAGUAGAAGGAAACUUUAUCUGGGAAGAAAGAACAUCGUGCAAGUAAGCGAGGGCCUUGAAGUCACAUAGCUGGGAAACGCCGUGGGCUUCACUCCAGCUGUGGUCGUAUUUUCCAAGAAUAGGGGCACCCUUCAGAUGCACGUGUGCAUCCGAGUUCCGUGAGCAAGCUACAUUUCCAGUAUUUACUGAGAUCUAAGUUGUGCGGACUCACCCAGAGUUCCUGCCCCGUUUUUCCAAUGUCCUGAGCUUCUCUUCCCUUGCUCUUCUCCUUUGGCCACGCCCCACUCCCAGAGAGAAGGCGGGUGCAUGCUGGUAAUGAAAGGUUUACCCUGGGGAGACGUGUGAAAACCUUGAGAAACCUCCCCAAAAUAUAGUUGAGUAGAUUUCUGUGUAGGAAUUGUUUAAGGGGCAGGUUAGACUUUGGUCUUUAAGUAAGGAGAGGUCAUACAUAGAUUGUUAAAAAA